GGCCACAUCACGUUGAAACGCCGGCCCCGUACGAUAACUGAAGUUAAGCAACGUCGAACCUGGUCAGUACUUAAGUGGGGGACCGCUUAGGAAUACCGAGUGCUGUAAG